CGAUGUUCCACCUCUCUGAUUGAGCUUCCUUCUCCCACCCCGCUGGGAAUUCCUCCACGAGUUGGGACCGGAUUCUUCGAGCCUCGUGCGAAUGGCUGAGGCGCGGGUGUCAGAGGUUUUGCCCCUGCAGUCCCUGAGUAGUGUUCGAGCGAUGCCCGUGGGUGGCUUUUGGGGUCACAGUCCCUCUCUCCACCCCAGGGGUGCUGGGAUGAAAGACUAGCUAGUCACUACCCUUGUGUCUUUACUCGUCUCCGCUGCCCGGGUCAACCAGCGGACUGCGGGGAAAUGGCUGGCAGGUCUGCCAAGUUAGACGGCCUCAAACCUGGGCCGGUUCUGUGUGAUAAGGUUCCAACUGCGUCUGAUCGCUUCCCUCCGCAAGCACCAUAUUUGGUCUUUAGGGUGGACCCUGUCGAUUAGAUGCUGGCAUUUGGCUUCCCGAUCAGCCAGCGAAUCAACCGACUGCGGAAGCAAGCAACAUCCGGUUGACACGGCCGCGGGCUUCUCUGUCUGGAAGACCAGGGACCAGGGCCUAAGGCCCCAGUCCUCAGGUCUCGGGUCGCCGUGCCCACCUGAUGUCCGCGGCAAGCGUUGGACUUGACCGUCAACUUGGGAUUUCUAAGGUUGGAGUGUAAGAAUGCAAUCUCGGCUUACCGCCGCCUCGACAUUCCAGGCCUCCCUCAGGUGAUCUUCCUAUCUCAGCCUUCCAAGUGGCUAAGACUACAGGAGUCACUUAAUUCUGUGAUGUCGAAGCUGAAGUGAGCCGUGAUCAUGCCAUUGCCCUCCAGUCUGAGUGUUUCAGAAGGCGGAUUCUCAAUCAGCCACCAAGGAUGGAAUGCAGUGGUGCACUCUCGGAUCACUGCAGUAAAUGCCUCCCGGGUUGAAGCGAUUCUCCACCCUCAUCCUCCUGAGUGGCUGGGAUUACAGUCACCCGCCAAAAUGCCCCGCUAAAAUUCGCACCUUAGUAGAGACGGAGAAUUGCCAUCCUUGCGACGCUGGAAUUGAAAACAAAAUGAAAACAAAAAUGAAAUGCAACAAAAUAAUUAAAAAGUGAGUUUCCGGGAAAAAAGAAAAAAGGAAAAAAAAAAAAAAAAGAAGAAAACAACCCCACCGUGACGUACACGUACGCCUCUCGCCUUUCCAGGCAUCAGACACGUUAGGAAUCAUGCGUGAUUUCUUUUUUUAACUUAAUUUUAUUUUAUCAUGAUGAUUUAUGUUUCGAGACGGAGUCUCGGAGGCCCGCCCUCCCUCCGUCCCAUUCCCUGGUUGCCCAGACCACCUCAGGAGACAGACCCUGGCUGGGCCAGAUUGUUCUUCUCCUUGGUCAAUGGUUUCCUUGUCUUUCUUCGUGUCUUUAACCCGCGUGGACGCUUCCGCUCGGGUUUUACAGAUGGCAGCUCCACUUUAGGCCUUGUUGUUGUUGGGGACUUUCCUGAUUCUCCCCAGAUGUAGUGAAAGCAGGUAGAUUUGCCUUGCCUGGACUUGCCUGGCCUUGCCUUUUCUUUCUUUCUUUAUUACUUUCUCUUUUUUUUCUUCUUCUUCCUUUUUUUUUUUUUUUUUUUGAGACAGAGUUUCACUCCUGUUGCCCAGGCUAGAGGGCAAUGGCGCGAUCUCGGCCCACCGCACCCUCUGCCUCCCAGGUUCAAGCGAUUCUCCUGGCUCAGCCUCCUGAUUAGCUGGGAUUAUAGGCAUGGGCCACCGUGCCUGGCUGAUGUUUGUACUUUUAGUAGAGACGGUGUUUUUCCAUGUUGGUCAGGCUGGUCUCCAACUCCGAACCUCAGGUGAUCCGCCAGCCUUGGCCUCCCAAAGUGCUGGGAUGACAGGCGUGAGCCGCCGCGCCCAGCCUCUCUCUCUCUCUCGCUUGCUUGCUUGCUUGCUUGCUUGCUUGCUUGCUUGCUUGCUUGCUUGCUUGCUUGCUUUCGUGUUUUCUUGCUUUCUUGUUUUCUUGCUUUCUUGCUUGCUUGCUUGCUUUCGUGCUUUCUUGCUUUCCUGUUUUCUUUCUUUCUUUCUUUCUUUCUUUCUUUCUUUCUUUUGUUUCUUUCUUGCUUGCUUUCUUGCUUGCUUGCUUGCUUGCUUGCUUUCGUGCUUUCCUGUUUUCUUGCUUUCUUUCUUUCUUUUGUUUCUUUCUUGCUUGCUUUCUUGCUUCCUUGUUUUCUUGCUUGCUUGCUUUUGUGCUUUCUUCUUUUCUUGCUUUCUUUCUUUCUUUGGUUUCUUUCUUACUUGCUUGCUUGCUUGCUUUCGUGCUUUCUUGUUUUCUUGCUUUCUUUCUUUCUUUUGUUUCUUGCUUGCUUGCUUUCGUGCUUUCUUGCUUGCUUUCUGUCUUUUGUUUCUUUCUUGCUUGCUUUCUUGCUUCCUUGUUUUCUUGCUUUCUUGCUUGCUUGCUUUCGUGCUUUCUUUCUUGCUUUCUUUUCUUUCUUGCUUGCUUUCUUUUCUUUUUCUUUCUUUCUUUCUUGCUUUCUUUUCAUUCAUUCAUUCUUUCUUUCUUCUUUCUUUCUUUCUUUCUUUCUUUCUUUCUCUGUUUCUUUCUGUUUCGUCCUUUUGAGACAGAGUUUCACUCUUGUUUCCACGGCUAGAGUGCCAUGGCGCGAUCUUGGCUCACCGCACCUUCCGCCUCCCGGGUUCGAGCGCUUCUCCCGCCUCAGCCUCCUGAUUAGCGGGGAUUACAGGGAGGCACCCCCACGCCUGGCUUGGCUGAUGUUUGUAUUUUUAGUAGGCACGCCGUGUCUCUCCAUGUGGGUCAGGCUGGUCUCCAACUCCCGACCUCAUGUGAUGCGCCCACCUCGGCCUCUCAAAGUGCUGGGAUGACAGGCGUGGGUCACCGUGCCCAGCCUGUUGACUCGUUUCGUUUUUUUGUUUCUUUCGUUUCCAUGUGUUCGCUUAUAUUUAUCGACGUAAACGUUUGUAUACAUUUAUAUGUAAACGAAAAUGUGUAUCUUUACGUUGAAUACGCUUGUGUAUAGUAAAUACGCAUCGACUAUGUAGAAACAUACCUCUGUGUGAUAGAUGCAGGUGUUUAUUUCGCAUAAAUGAAUACACGUCGCUCUAGAAAGAAGCGAUCGCCGACAAAUACGUGUAUGCUUACGUA